rnacentral:rRNA from 1 species
CCUGCGGAGGAUCAUUAUAGAAUAGAAAAAUGGGCUGUUGCUGGCUCCUCGCAAUGUGCACGCCUGUUCAUUUAUCUCUCCUCUUGUGCACCAACUGUAGGUCUUCGGGUCUAUGUUUUUACAAUCUCUCAAACGUGUUUGGAAUGUCAUGUCAUAUAAUAAUGAUAAUAUACAACUUUCAGCAACGGAUCUCUUGGCUCUUGCAUCGAUGAAGAACGCAGCGAAAUGCGAUAAGUAAUGUGAAUUGCAGAAUUCAGUGAAUCAUCGAAUCUUUGAACGCAUCUUGCGCUCCUUGGUACUCUGAGGAGCAUGCCUGUUUGAGUGUCAUAAAGUUCUCAAUCUCAGGAUUGGACUGUUGGGAUUUGCAGGCUUUAAUUAAAGGUCUGCUCUCCUGAAAUGAAUCAGUGGCGUCUGAGCAUGAGGGGGACCACUACUAGUUGUAUUUUAUGCCUCCUGUGAGGUCUCUGUUGCCCAAGCUGCUUCAAACUUGAAUUAUCAAUGAUGAAUUUGACCUCAAAUCAGGUAGGACUACCCGCUGAACUUAAGCAUAUCAAUAAGCGGAGGAAAAGAAACUAACAAGGAUUCCCCUAGUAACUGCGAGUGAAGCGGGAAGAGCUCAAAUUUGAAAUCUGGCGGCUCCUUUGACCGUCCGAGUUGUAAUCUAGAGAAGUGCUACCCGUGCUGGACCGUGUACAAGUCUCCUGGAAUGGGGCAUCGUAGAGGGUGAGAAUCCCGUCUUUGACAUGGACUGCCAGUGCGCCGUGGGUGUGCUCUCGAAGAGUCGAGUUGUUUGGGAAUGCAGCUCAAAAUGGGUGGUAAAUGCCAUCUAAAGCUAAAUACUGGCGAGAGACCGAUAGCGAACAAGUACCGUGAGGGAAAGAUGAAAAGAACUUUGGAAAGAGAGUUAAACAGUACGUGAAAUUGCUGAAAGGGAAACGCUUGGAGUCAGUCGCGUCGGCCGGGAAUCAGCCUUGCUUCUGCUUGGUGCACUUCCUGGUUCAACGGGUCAGCAUCAGUCUUGACCGCCGGACAAAGGCCUUUGGGAAUGUGGCAUCCUCUGGAUGUGUUAUAGCCCAUGGUCGCAUACGGCGGCUGGGAUUGAGGAACUCAGUGCGUCCCCCUGCAAGGGGAUUGGGUCCUCGGA